AAGGCCUCGGGUUGUUAAAGCUCUUUGUCCGGAGCGAAACGGUUACGGUGAAUAUCCGUGACUACUGACGGUACCGGAAGAAUAAGCACCGGCUAACUACGUGC
rnacentral:rRNA from 1 species